GAUGAACGCUGGCGGCGUGCCUAAUACAUGCAAGUCGAGCGAACAGAUGAGGAGCUUGCUCCUCUGCCGUUAGCGGCGGACGGGUGAGUAACACGUGGAUAACCUACCUAUAAGACUGGGAUAACUUCGGGAAACCGGAGCUAAUACCGGAUAAUAUAUUGAACCGCAUGGUUCAAUAGUGAAAGACGGUUUUGCUGUCACUUAUAGAUGGAUCCGCGCCGCAUUAGCUAGUUGGUAAGGUAACGGCUUACCAAGGCGACGAUGCGUAGCCGACCUGAGAGGGUGAUCGGCCACACUGGAACUGAGACACGGUCCAGACUCCUACGGGAGGCAGCAGUAGGGAAUCUUCCGCAAUGGGCGAAAGCCUGACGGAGCAACGCCGCGUGAGUGAUGAAGGUCUUCGGAUCGUAAAACUCUGUUAUUAGGGAAGAACAAAUGUGUAAGUAACUAUGCACGUCUUGACGGUACCUAAUCAGAAAGCCACGGCUAACUACGUG
rnacentral:rRNA from 1 species